GUAGCACGUGCGGAGAGCACAUCGUUCACAUCGAUGGGGUCACAGGUUCGAGUCCUGUUGCGACCA
rnacentral:tRNA from 1 species